rnacentral:lncRNA from 1 species
AGGAUUGGAAACUUGAAGUUAUGCAGUAUUUUCCGGUUUCAGUAAUGCUUACGCAUGUUUUUUUUAUCCCUGUUUUGUUGACAACUUAAUCAUUGAAUCUUCGUUAUUUUAUAUUUGGUUACAGACAAGCUUUAUUAAAUCUAUCAGGUUUUCCCGUUGUUCUGUAUUUAAGAUCUUUAUUCAUAUUUGGAUCACUGAAAUAC